AGUCUUGUAAUUCAGUCGGUUAGAAUGCUGUCCUGCUAAGACAGAGGUCGCAGGUUCGAGUCCUGCCAGGACUGCCA
rnacentral:tRNA from 1 species